GACGAACGCUGGCGGCGUGCUUAACACAUGCAAGUCGAACGGAAAGUCCCUGCUUUUGUGGGGUGCUCGAGUGGCGAACGGGUGAGUAACACGUUUGUAACCAGCCCUUUCCUUUGGGAUAACUUCAGGAAACUGGGGCUAAUACCGGAUAGGAGCUCCUGCUGCAGGGUGGGGGUUGGAAAGUUUCGGCGGUUGGGGAUGGACUCGCGGCUUAUCAGCUUGUUGGUGGGGUAGUGGCUUACCAAGGCUUUGACGGGUAGCCGGCCUGAGAGGGUGACCGGCCACAUUGGGACUGAGAUACGGCCCAGCCUACUACGGGAGGCAGCAGUGGGGAAUAGUGCACAAUGGGCGGAAGCCUGAUGCAGCAACGCCGCGUGCGGGAUGACGGCCUUCGGGUUGUAAACCGCUGUCGCCUGUGACGAAGCGUGAGUGACGGUAAUGGGUAAAGAAGCACCGGCUAACUACGUG
rnacentral:rRNA from 1 species